rnacentral:rRNA from 1 species
GACGAACGCUGGCGGCGUGCUUAACACAUGCAAGUCGAACGGAAAGGCCCUGCUUUUGUGGGGUGCUCGAGUGGCGAACGGGUGAGUAACACGUGAGUAACCUGUCCUUGACUUUGGGAUAACUUCAGGAAACUGGGGCUAAUACCGGAUAGGAGCUCCUGCUGCAUGGUGGGGGUUGGAAAGUUUCGGCGGUUGGGGAUGGACUCGCGGCUUAUCAGCUUGUUGGUGGGGUAGUGGAUUACCAAGGCUUUGACGGGUAGCCGGCCUGAGAGGGUGACCGGCCACAUUGGGACUGAGAUACGGCCCAGACUCCUACGGGAGGCAGCAGUGGGGAAUAUUGCACAAUGGGCGGAAGCCUGAUGCAGCAACGCCGCGUGCGGGAUGACGGCCUUCGGGUUGUAAACCGCUUUCGCCUGUGACGAAGCGUGAGUGACGGUAAUGGGUAAAGAAGCACCGGCUAACUACGUG